UACGUAGGGGGCAAGCGUUAUCCGGAAUUAUUGGGCGUAAAGAGUGCGUAGGUGGUCUUGCAAGCGUGGGGUGAAAGGCAGUGGCUUAACCAUUGUAAGCCUUGCGAACUGUAAGACUUGAGUGCAGGAGAGGAAAGCGGAAUUCCUAGUGUAGCGGUGAAAUGCGUAGAUAUUAGGAGGAAUACCAGUAGCGAAGGCGGCUCUCUGGACUGUAACUGACACUGAGGCACGAAAGCUAGGGGAGCAAACA
rnacentral:rRNA from 1 species